rnacentral:tRNA from 1 species
GCCUCGGUAGCUCAGCGGCCAGAGCUCCCGCCUUGUAAGCGGGAGGUCGAGGGUUCGACUCCCUCCCGGGGCU